rnacentral:rRNA from 1 species
AGUGAACGCUGGCGGUAGGCCUAACACAUGCAAGUCGAACGGCAGCACAGGAGAGCUUGCUCUCUGGGUGGCGAGUGGCGGACGGGCGAGGAAUACAUCGGAAUCUACUUUUUCGUGGGGGAUAACGUAGGGAAACUUACGCUAAUACCGCAUACGACCUACGGGUGAAAGCAGGGGAUCUUCGGACCUUGCGCGAUUGAAUGAGCCGAUGUCGGAUUAGCUAGUUGGCGGGGUAAAGGCCCACCAAGGCGACGAUCCGUAGCUGGUCUGAGAGGAUGAUCAGCCACACUGGAACUGAGGCACGGUCCAGACUCCUACGGGAGGCAGCAGUGGGGAAUAUUGGACAAUGGGCGCAAGCCUGAUCCAGCCAUACCGCGUGGGUGAAGAAGGCCUUCGGGUCGUAAAGCCCUUUUGUUGGGAAAGAAAUCCAGCUGGUUAAUACCCGGUUGGGAUGACGGUACCCAAAGAAUAAGCACCGGCUAACUUCGUGCCAGCCGCCGCAGUAA